GACAAAAGGAUAAUGCGGUGGACGUUGACAAACUUGGUCGCACGGUCCAGUGGUUCGACUCCCGUCGAGAUGCCUCGGCUGCACAGAAUUAAUCGUUGCUAUGAUCCCGGAAAGAUAAACUCUGUACAAUGGAGCUUUAACAUGAAAAAAAAUGCUGAUUGAUGACGACAUAUGAUUUCUUCAGAACUUCUGUAAUAGAAAAUUUUUUUUUGAGAAAAAUUCUGUUCCAGCAGUAUGUUAUGAUGGACUUGUUUUUGUGACACUAGUUUUUCCUCGUAAUUCAAUUGAUUUUAUUUGUAUAAUAUGAUACCAAGAGUAAAAAUAAUGGCAAGACAAAGAAAAGGAGUACAAGAAACAAAGAUGCCUCCAGAUCAGUGGGGCCGGUGCCUCCAGCUAAAUAAAUAAGCCCCAAAUGAAUCAGAUACUGUAUCAUCAGCGCGGCCGGUGCAUUGACGGAGUCCGGCGAGACGCGCCUGGUGUGCUCCUACUCGGCGGUUUUCCACGGGUUCGCCGCCCGUCUCACCGAAGCCGAGCUCGCGGCGGUGGCGAAGCUGCCGGGCUUCGUGCGCGCGCUCCCUGACGGCAAGCGGUAGCUCCUCACCACGCGCACGCCGUCGUUCCUCGGGCUCGUCAGGGAUGAGCACGAGUUCUGGAGCGACGCCGGCCCGGCCCUGGGGGGGUGCAGGCGGUGCAGCCGCACCGGGCCACAAAAUCGAAUGGGCCCCCAACACCUAGGGCCUCUGCUGUCCUCAGUCCAGCUGUAUCGCCUAAUCGUCGGGCCUGUAAGCAGGCUGUAAAUUGCAACUGCAUCGCCGCCGCUGGACGAUGGGAGUACGGCACAAGGGCCCCGAGUACACGGCCUCUGAAAUCUCAAGAUCGGGCAAAGUUCGGCGGUGGAGUCAUCAUUGGCAUCUUGGACCCGGGGAUCUCGGCGACGCACGUCUCCUUCGGCAAGGAUGGUGUCCCGAACAAGGACGGAGCCAGAAUUUAAGAUUGGAAGGGACAAAUGGAAUAAGUUUAAGAUUGGAGGGGGCAUGAAUGCUACUCCCUCCGGCCGGAAUUACCUGUCGAAAUAUUACAUGUAUUUAGACGUUUUUUACAUGUAGAUAUAUUUGUAUUGGGGCAAAUCUGAGACAAGUAAUACUGAUAGGAGGGAAUAGUAUUUUUCUAUUUUUUUCUAAAUAUAUCACUACUUUUGCAUUAAAAUAAAAAUUGUUGGGGGGGGGGGGGUGCACGCCCCCCUACACCCCCCUUGUCUCCGUCCCUGGUCUCGGACAGGAGACACCCAGUGCACUCGCAAGCUUUUUGGCUUCAAGUCCUUUGUUGAAGCUGAUUUCGGCGUAGACGGCGACCCAAUAGGCCACGGCAUGCACAUCGCUGGCAUCGCCGCGGGCAACUUCGUCGAAGGUGCGUCGCUCCCGGGCAGAUUGGGCUCCGGCACGGUCGCGGGGAUCGCUCCCCUGGCGCACAUCGCUAUGUACAAAGUACAAACAUCAGAUACCAAUCUGACAGCCGUUUAGAGACGCAUUGUUACAACGUACAUUGCUCUAGUUCUUAUUCUAUCUAGAUCAUGAUGGCCUGCGUUGCCGCGCCCAUCAUUUUUGACAUUGCAAUGACAGAAAGAACAUAAAUCUCCACGGAUGUUGUGGCCUCAGCUAACAUGUUGUAGUGGUAUAGCAAGUGUUAUAGGAAAUAAAAGCACUGCGUAUCGUGAGUUCCCAUCCAAUCAGUUAUCACUUAUCAGAGGCCCUUAUGUGCAGAUACUCCUCUCAUCCCUGAUGCAAUUUCGAUUAUUCUCAAGUACGGUAAGAAAUAAUGUAUGAUGAAAAAAUAUACAUUGGUUAUGCAACAUCUUACGUUUCAUAUCAAUUUUAGGACCACGUCUUGCAUUUUGCACCAGUUUUAUGGCCACGUCUUGUGUUUCGCACCAGGGCCUGGAGCUGGUCAUCCUGGACGUGGCCGGGAAGCGGGCCGUGUUCCGCGGCCCACUGGAGUUGGGGCAGACGUUGGCCGACCAUGGCCGCAGCAAAGGCUUCGUCCAGUUCGUCCAGAGGAGGGAUCUCGAGAAGUCCGGAUGCGUGAUGGAUGGCGAUGGCCGCAGUUUCGAUGUCCGGUGCACGCUCCGCGGACAUCGGGGUGGUCACCAGGUCGCUCAGGCGCAGCCGCCGCCGCGCCAGUACAGGAGUAGCGUGUGCUUCUUUAGACUUUAGUUGUAUACUCAUUGUCUAUUUUUUUUCUGAUUCUCUCCAACCGAUGGAAAUUACUGUCUACGAGUAUCGAGCUACGGAUGGAGAAUAUAUACAGUAGUACGUACGUACAAGAUGGUUUGAUUUUGAA